AGAGUUUGAUCAUGGCUCAGGACGAACGCUGGCGGCGUGCCUAACACAUGCAAGUCGAGCGGGAUCCAUCCAGUGGCAACACUGGGGAAGAUCUAGCGGCGAACGGGUGAGUAACACGUGAGAAACUUGCCCCGGAGUUCGGGAUAACCCGAGGAAACUCGAGCUAAUACCGAAUACCCUCCACCGAUCGCAUGGUCGGUAGAGGAAAGAUUCAUCGCUCCGGGAGAGUCUCGCGGCCUAUCAGCUAGUUGGCGGGGUAACGGCCCACCAAGGCAUCGACGGGUAGCUGGUCUGAGAGGACGAUCAGCCACACUGGGACUGAGACACGGCCCAGACUCCUACGGGAGGCAGCAGUGGGGAAUCUUGCGCAAUGGGCGAAAGCCUGACGCAGCAACGCCGCGUGCGGGAUGAAGGCCUUCGGGUUGUAAACCGCUUUCAGCAGGGACGAAAUUGACGGUACCUGCAGAAGAAGCCCCGGCCAACUACGUGCCAGCAGCCGCGGUAACACGUAGGGGGCGAGCGUUGUCCGGAUUUAUUGGGCGUAAAGAGCUCGUAGGCGGCUCGGUAAGUCGGGUGUGAAACCUCCAGGCUCAACCUGGAGACGCCACCUGAUACUGCUGUGGCUAGAGUCCGGUAGGGGAGUGUGGAACUCCUGGUGUAGCGGUGAAAUGCGCAGAUAUCAGGAAGAACACCAGCGGCGAAGGCGGCACUCUGGGCCGGAACUGACGCUGAGGAGCGAAAGCGUGGGUAGCAAACAGGAUUAGAUACCCUAGUAGUCC
rnacentral:rRNA from 1 species